rnacentral:rRNA from 1 species
AACGCUGGCGGCGUGCCUAACACAUGCAAGUCGUACGAGAAAGUUGGCUUCGGCCGAUGAGUAAAGUGGCGCACGGGUGAGUAACGCGUGGAUAAUCAACCCCUCAGUUGGGAAUAACUCAUCGAAAGGUGGGCUAAUACCGAAUAAUACUGCAUGACUUCUGUUGUGUAGUCAAAGAUGGCCUCUGCUUGCAAGCUAUCGCUGAAGGAUGAGUCCGCGUACCAUUAGCUUGUUGGUAGGGUAAUGGCCUACCAAGGCAACGAUGGUUAGCUGGUCUGAGAGGAUGAUCAGCCACACUGGAACUGAGACACGGUCCAGACUCCUACGGGAGGCAGCAGUGAGGAAUAUUGCGCAAUGGGGGCAACCCUGACGCAGCAACGCCGCGUGAGUGAGGAAGGUUUUCGGACCGUAAAGCUCUGUCGAGCGGGAAGAAAUGCGUAGUGGCUAAUAUCCAUUAUGCUUGACGGUACCGCUAAAGGAAGCACCGGCUAACUCCGUGCCAGCA